GUGGUUGGCAGGGCCCAGAAGCAGGAUAUUGUGGGGUUAGUGUUUAAUUUGUAUAGAGUUUCAGUUGGAAAAUGACCGUGUUCUGUGGAUGGAUUGUGGUGAUGGUUGCACUACAAUAUGAAUGUAAUUAAUGCCACUGAACUGUACACUUAAAAUUGAUUAAAGUGGUAAAUGUUAUGUAUAUUUCACCACCAUAAUAGAAAAAAAGAAUAUGUUCAUCAACUAAUUCAUAAAUAAGAAACAAGAAAAGUUAUUUUUAUAACAAAGAAGUGAACCAGGUAAUACUUGGAAAGUAUAGGUUAUAGCAAGAAGACAGCAAUGACACUAGACCUAAAAAAUAUUCAAAACUGUGCUACUAAAACUGUGUUGCCUGAAUCCUAAUAUGGGGCAGAGACUUAGAGCUCUUUCAUUCUGCCCUCUCCCCAGAAACCAUACACAGAGGAAGUUUGCCAUCAGCUGAAGAGUGCUUAACUGAGGCGUGGCGAGCAGACUGCACAGUUCUUGCCAACAUCAGAGUUAAUUUGGUAAAUCUUGGCAUCUGCUUUCCUUCAGAUAUUUACCUAAAGCCUCCAUCUGCCUCUAAAUAUAGAUGGAUGAGAAGUUCAGCAUCAUUUAAGACACAUUAUUUUGCACUUGGCUAUAUAUAGGAAUGUACUGUUGUAUAAGUAGCCACUUUAAUCUGGUUUAAAUUUAAUUUGGCUCCUGGACAUGCGUAUGUAUAUGUUGGUUAAGCAUUUCCUUUUCCUACGGUCAUCUUUCAAAGUGCACGUUGCUUAAACAUAUAAGGGCUUACUUUUCUCAUGUAACAGGAAUUCAAAGUGGGUGUUUGCUAGUGGUGGUUCAGUGGCUUGAGGAUACGGGGGCUGAGGUCUCUGAUAUUCUCUUGGUCUGUUCCUCAUGGUCUCAAGGUGGGUGCAACAAUUCUAGCCAUCAUAUUGGAGUUCCAGGCAGAAAAGUGGAAUAAUUUUAUUGUGUCUAAUAUGCACACAAGAUCUGAGAGCAAUAUGUACAUUUUAAGCCAAGAAACACACAGAUCUUAGCUAAAUGGUGAAGUCAUGCCAAGAGCUGCCAAUCCUGUUUUUCAGUGGAAGUGCAGAAGCAUGUUGAAGUCUCCAGCUGAGCUCCCCACCACAUUGGAAGAACCCAGAAAACAAACAAGCAAGCUCUUCUCAUGACUUAAAACUCAGGGUUUUCAGGGUGAUGAUUUUAAACUCAGGGUGUCUAAUCCAUUCAUGAAGAGUGUGGUCUGGCCUCAAGCCAUUUCUGACAUCAAUACCCUUGAUUCAUGUCUGUUUAUCCCUGUGCUGCCUCUGCGAUGGACAUGGAGAUUCUACUUUAAAUGCACAUUUAGAAAUCAGUUACCCAUACCUCUUCAGCUAGCCAUGGAAUCUUUGAGGAAUUAAUUUUGGCCAGUUGAAAAAUAUGGAGUUAGCCAUAUAAUACCAAAAUAAAUGCUUCCAAAAAUUUCUGAGGGGGAAAAAAAAGCAUACCAUGUAGAUAUUAGGUGGAGAAAGUUAUUUUCUUUCUAGUGCAAUAGAUACACAUUUUCAAAAAUAGACAUGUUUUUCAAUUCAGUUUUUCUACUUUAUAGAAAAAGAAGCCAAAAUAUUCUCAACCCAUAUUUUUAACUUAGAACAUGAAACAUAAAAUGUAGUUUGGCUUUAUGUUGUGUCAAGCUAAGUGAGAAGGUGUUACAUUGCUACAGCCCAGAUUUCCAAUGACCUUGAGAGGUCUAUGCGUGGGUAUGUACAUCCUGAUGUGGGUUACUCAUUUCCCAUGUAAUCUUACAGGUCCUUUAUUUCUGCCCAAAUGUGAGAGGCUCCAGUAAAGUUUCUAGCUAGAAGAAUUAUAAUCUAUAGAGGUGGUUGAUAGAAUUAUUUUCAUGCUCAGUGUUUUCCUUUAGGUCUCUAUUCUCCAAAUCUUGCAGGUAAAGUAGUCCUUUAUUCAGGGAAGAUGAUGACGUUCAUAAUUGCAGGCCUAGAGAGAAAGCUGUCAAUUGUCAUACAUUCCACAGGAACAUCAAACAGAGCUCCUUUAGUUGAGGGCAUCUCAAUUCACUGAGC
rnacentral:lncRNA from 1 species